rnacentral:rRNA from 1 species
UUGCGGGGCGUAAAAGCGAGCGCAGGCGGUUUUGUAAGUCUGAAGUCAAAGGCAGUGGCUUAACCAUUGUGUGCUUUGGAAACUGCAGGACUUGAGUGCAGAAGGGGAGAGUGGAAUUCCAUGUGUAGCGGUGAAAUGCGUAGAUAUAUGGAGGAACACCGGUGGCGAAAGCGGCUCUCUGGUCUGUGACUGACGCUGAGGCUCGAAAGCGUGGGUAGCGAACAGGAUUAUAUACCCUGGUAGUCCACGCCGUAAACGCUGAGUGCUAGGUGUUAGGCCCUUUCCGGGGCUUAUUGCCGAAGCUAACGAAUUAAGCAAUCCGCCUGGUGCCUAUCGUCGAAAGGAUGAACCUCCAG